UACGGAGGGUGCAAGCGUUAUCCGGAUUCACUGGGUUUAAAGGGUGCGUAGGUGGGCAGGUAAGUCAGUGGUGAAAUCUCCGGGCUUAACCCGGAAACUGCCAUUGAUACUAUCUGUCUUGAAUACCGUGGAGGUGAGCGGAAUAUGUCAUGUAGCGGUGAAAUGCUUAGAUAUGACAUAGAACACCAAUUGCGAAGGCAGCUGGCUACACGAAUAUUGACACUGAUGCACGAAAGCGUGGGGAUCAAACAGG
rnacentral:rRNA from 1 species